UCCGUAGGUGAACCUGCGGAGGGAUCAUUACCGAGUUAGGGUCUCACCGGCCCGAUCUCCCUACCCUUUGUCUACUUGACCAUCGUUGCUUCGGCGAGCCCGUCCCCACGGACCGCCGGGGGGUCUUUGUACCCCUUGGCCCGCGCUCGUCGAUAGCCCCCAAAUUUAAAAAAUCUUAACUAAACGUGUCUUGAAUCUAAGUAUUAUUGUUAAAUACAAACAAAACUUUCAACAACGGAUCUCUUGGUUCUGGCAUCGAUGAAGAACGCAGCAAAAUGCGAUAAGUAAUGCGAAUUGCAGAAUUCCAGUGAGUCAUCGAAUCUUUGAACGCACAUUGCGCCCUUUGGUAUUCCGAAGGGCAUGCCUGUUCGAGCGUCAUUAUCACCCCUCAAGCCCUCGGCUUGGUGUUGGACGGUUUGGUGGAGACCCCCUCUGGUGGGCUUCUACCCCUCCCAAAGACAAUGACGGCGGCCUCGUUGGACCCCCGGUACACUGAGUUCUUCACGGGACACGUAUCGGACACAUGGGUUUACGGGACACGGUCUGCCUCCCCUCAGGGAGAAUCUUUUUUUAUCAAGGUUGACCUCGGAUCAGGUAGGGAUACCCGCUGAACUUAAGCAUAUCA
rnacentral:rRNA from 1 species